AACGUAGGUGGCAAGCGUUAUCCGGAUUUACUGGGCGUAAAGCGUGUGCAGGCGGUUAAAUAAGUGGUGUAUGAAAUCUCCGCGCUUAACGUGGAGGGGUUAUGCCAGACUGUUUGACUCGAACCCAUCAGAGGGACGUGGAAUUCCGGGUGUAGUGGUGAAAUGCGUAGAGAGUCCGGAGGAACACCAGUGGCGAAGGCGGCUUCCUGGCCUGUUCUUGGACGCUGAGGCGCGAAAAGCUAGGGGAGCAAACGGG
rnacentral:rRNA from 1 species